rnacentral:lncRNA from 1 species
AAGAAUCUGCCCUUAUUUCCUAUAAUGCCUCAGCAAAAUCGUACUUAACCUACUCCUCAGAAAAGACCUAAAUUGAUCUGCUUUUUUGUAAAGCAAUAUCUCAAGUUACUUUGCCUGUGUCUAUAGGCCUUAGCACGGCACCUUGCACUGUUUUGUCUUCAUUUUAAUACAAACGCUGCUCUAUGUCUAAAGUUUUUUGUAGGUAUUCGGUCGAAUACCC